rnacentral:tRNA from 1 species
AUCUUAUUAGUAUACAUAAUUAUUUUUAGUUUCCACCUAAAAGAUCUUUCCAAGAUAAGAUA